CGUGGCCAAGGUCCUGCUACAGAGCUUGAAGUAAAAAUUACACACACAUACAAAUUGGCACUGGAGUCACUGCUGGGGAAAUUUUGAAAGGAAGGUGUGUCGGCUCGGCUGUACCCUGCUCUUGAGAUUGACUACUCCCCAAGGCUUCAGCAAAGGAGGGCAGGUCAAAGCCAGACCAGGCCUCUGCCCAUAUGGUGGGGAAGAUGCGUUUGUAAACCACUGACUACUGGCCUUCUAUGAACAAAGAUGUGGACCACAUGAGAAACACCUUGACAGCCUAACACAAAAAUGAGGUACACCUCAGGGAUGGAUAAGAGCGUGUUCUCACUGUGUUCACAUGAGCAUGGUUUGCAUAAAUCUGCAAUACAAAUUAAAGUAUUUUUAACUUCUCAGAGCUGAGGAGGUUCUACAUGGAGAGAAAGAAAUAAUAUCUCACUUAACUCUGUGACACCUCACAAGAUUGGGAUUAUUUUCUAUAAUUUUUAUAGAUUAGGAAACUGAGACUUGAAAGUUAGAUAACUUGUCAAAAGUCACAAUAACAGAGCCAGGAUUUGAACUCAGCUUGCUUAAUAUCAUAUCACAUUUUUUAUCUGGGACAAUUGAGAGUAAUUUUUCCUCAUAAAAGUUGAGAUCCACUUUUCUCCUACAAGCCUAACCAGUGACAAAAAAAUGACAACUUCAGAAGUUUUCAGAAAUCUUUCCCUUAAUGAUGAAGCAAUUCAAAUUUGAGAAUUUCUAUUGACUAAAAACCUUACAAAGU
rnacentral:lncRNA from 1 species